CUUUUUACAUGAGCAAAAUGCGCUCAGCGAACAGAGUUUGACAUGGUUAAAGGAUAAGCUUAAAUGGGCGUAUACAGGCACAACUCACAAGGCACAACCACCUCUAAAGUCCAACCUCAACAACAGUCUCAAGUCUUAACGAUCAUACGGACAUGUCCGAUCAACCUUCAUGUUCUGAUCCCAUUGAAAGCAAACAUGAGCAUGAGCAUGAGCAUGAGCAAUCGCUGAUCCCAAACCUCCCAAAAGACGUAGCACUUGAGUGCCUAGCUCGAACCCCUCGUUUCCAUCAUCCAUUCCUCUCUCUGGUCUGCAAAUCAUGGAGAUCCACUCUCAAUUCUCCUCUCUUCUACGCCACCCGCCGUGCACUCAAUUCCACCCAAUCAUUCCUCUUCCUCAACCUACGCCUUUACAACCCUAAAGAUUCCACCUUUUCCUUCAAAUGGUACUCUCUAGACCCUUCUACUAUCUUCCCCAAAAACACCCAAUUUACCCACAAAUCAACAACCCUAAUUCCAAUCAACCCCUCUCCGUACCACCCAAUUGGGGCUUCUUUCGUCUCAUUGGGUCGUCAUUUGUAUGUAAUUGGUGGCUCUGUUAAUGAUAUUCCAUCAUCUAAUUUCUGGGUGUUUGAUUGUUUGACUAAUAAGUGGGAAAUGGGACCCAAAAUGAGGGUUGGGAGGGAAUUUGCUGCUUCUGGGGUGGUUGAUGGCAAAAUUUAUGUGUUGGGGGGUUGUGUUGUGGAUAAUUGGGCUAGGUCUAUUAACUGGGCUGAGGUAUUUGACCCGGUUAGUGGGUCGUGGGCACCCGUCCCGAGCCCAAUUGAGGUGAGGGAUAAGUGGAUGCAUGCCAGUGCAGUGGUGGAAGGGAGGGUAUAUGCAAUGGCUGAUAGGGGUGGGGUGGUUUUCGACCCGGGAUUGGGGGAGUGGGGGCCAGUGUCAACGGAGCUUGAUAUGGGGUGGAGGGGGCGGGCUGCGGUGGUGGAUGGUGUGCUGUAUUGUUAUGAUUAUUUGGGGAAGAUAAGAGGUUUUGAUUUUGGGGAGAAUGUGUGGAAGGAGUUGAAAGGGUUAGAGAAGAGUUUGCCCAAGUUCUUGUGUGGUGCUACUAUGGCUAAUGUGGGUGGAAGUUUGUUUGUGGUUUGGGAAGGGAAAGCCAAUAGGAAGGAAAUAGAGGUGUUUUGUGCUGAGAUGUUGGUUAUCAAGGAUGCUUCUGGUGAAUUGUGGGGGUCGAUUGUGUGGUCGGAUGUCAUCAUUGUUAUUCCUAAGGGUUCAUCUGUGGUGCAUUGCUUGGAUGUUCAUUUGUGACUUGUGAAUUUUUCUGCUGCAAUAUCAGUAUGUUUGUUCACGAGUGUUAGCAAGCAAAGUGAUAGCACCUUUUGCCAGGGUCGCUCAGUGUUAUAGCCUCUUUUCCAUGUAGCAACUCACCGUCAGUUGGACGAGGAAAGUCUAUGGUGUUAUACGGUCUUGAAAGCUCUAUGUUUGAUAUUGAGAAGUGAUAAAAAGUUGAUAGAGAGGUGGAGAAAUCUCUACCUGUUGACUUGUGAACAGUUGAUUGUCAAUUUACAUGUUUAUAAAAUUCUUAAUAUUACUGUUUGGUUCAUCUUACUUUCUCUCAUUAUGUAAUAUAAAACUAGUUAUUAGGUCCGGA